AUGACAAAGCCUAAAGCGGAGGGUGGUAUGGGUUUUCGGGAUCUCAGAUUAUUUAACCAGGCUCUUUUAGCGAAGCAGGCAUGGAGGCUGGUGGUAAAUCCGGAAUCUCUCUGUGCCAGAGUGAUCAAGGCAAAAUAUUAUCCACAUGGGCAUAUUUUAGACACAGCUUUCCCGCAGUCGGCUUCUCUCACAUGGCAAGGUAUUCUGCAUGGG
rnacentral:rRNA from 1 species